CGCGUAGGCGGCCGGGUUGGUCGUGGGUGAAAUCCCCCAGCUUAACUGGGGAAUUGCCUACGAUACUGCCUGGCUCGAGGGAGGAAGGGGCGGCCGGAACUGUCGGUGGAGCGGUGAAAUGCGUUGAGAUCGACAGGAACGCCGGUGGCGAAAGCGGGCCGCUGGCCCUCUUCUGACGCUGAGGCGCGAAAGCCAGGGGAGCGAACG
rnacentral:rRNA from 1 species